CCUACGGGGGGCAGCAGUGAGGAAUAUUGGUCAAUGGACGAGAGUCUGAACCAGCCACGUAGCGUGAAGGAUGACUGCCCUAUGGGUUGUAAACUUCUUUUAUAUGGGAAUAAAAUGUUCCACGUGUGGGAUUUUGUAUGUACCAUAUGAAUAAGGCUCGGCUAACUCCGUGCCAGCAGCCGCGGUAAUACGGAGGAUCCGAGCGUUAUCCGGAUUUAUUGGGUUUAAAGGGAGCGUAGGUGGAUUGGUAAGUCAGUUGUGAAAGUUUGCGGCUCAACCGUAAAAUUGCAGUUGAAACUGGCAGGCUUGAGUACAGGAGAGGUGGGCGGAAUUCGUGGUGUAGCGGUGAAAUGCUUAGAUAUCACGAAGAACUCCGAUUGCGAAGGCAGCUCACUGGACUGCAACUGACACUGAGGCUCGAAAGUGUGGGUAUCAAACAGGAUUAGAUACCCGGGUAGUC
rnacentral:rRNA from 1 species